AGUGGGCAAGGGCUGCACGGUGGCUGGCUGGCAGAGCACUCGUAUCACUCUUGGACCCUUGAGCAAGGCCCUUAAUCCCAAAAACUGCUCCAGGGGCGCUGGAAUAAUAGGAUGACCCUGCUGAGGCAGGGAUUUUUAAAUGACUCGGUGAAAACUUACCCUAAAAAGAUUAGUUUUUCAACCAGGAGGGUAUUACUAAAGCUUCUAAUCCACUGUGAUGGGUACAUGCAAUUCUGUAUAACAGGCAGGCCCGUUCCCUGAGUUUGUCUUCAGGUCAAAUUUGUAGGUAAGUCGGAAAAAUAACUCAGUACACAAUAAUGCAGAAAUCACAAAAGUAACAACAUACGGUACUGCACUGUACCUCGAGCCGACGAACGUUUGAAACCGCGCGCUGUUUUCACGAGCAUCACAAAGUAGUGCAUGCGUUCGUUAUUACGAUCCAUUGCAUUUAACUAAAUUUUUUAUUAUAAUAAGCGUAAUGCUUGUCCGUUCGUAAGUACGAGAUAUCCGUAUGUAGGACGCUCUUGACCGGUUGAGAGCAAAGCUUUGGGUUCGAGGACAUGGUCAACGCAUUUUUUCUGGUGCAUCUGGAGCAUUUCUGGGAAUUAGGGGCUUUGGUCAAAGGCCCAACGUACAUGUGAUUAUUCUGCCAAGGAUGAGACUCGAACCGGCAACCUUCCGAUCGCAGGCGCAGAGGCCUGACGCAAAACGGAGCACGGGAGGGUGCAAAUGCAGUCCCCUGCUACCAGGAUUUAUCUAGUUGAGCUUCUCACCUUUGGGUGAUUUCAGUUCAGCGUCAGAGCCUCACUGGGUGACCCUCCUUCGUGAGCCUCCCUGCCAGGUAAGUUUAUCUGCAGUCACGUCAUAUUCAUUUUUUUGCAAAGCAUAUUGCUAAGACUGUGUUAAAUGCAUCAUUAUUUAAUUUAACAAAGGACUGAAUCACUUUACAGCAAAAUAAUUUCUUUUAAAGCUUAAUAAUUACUGAAUUAGUGUAAACAAGAAAACAAAACUGUUUUUUUUUUAAACUCACUCUUGGUAAAAGUGACCUCUCACUUCUAACUUUGUCAUGUCACUGUUACCAAGUACUCUAGCUUCCUGCCCAGCCCAGGCUGGGUGUUUGUCCUGUAUUGUAGCCUUAAGUCUCACAGAAUAGCUGCAACUUCAGCUUCUUGACCACUUGAGCUCUUGAAAUUGUUCCUUGCAGGCAUGACCCAACAAAAAAGGUGCGUGUGUCGGUCUCUGGCCACUUUCUGAAUAAUCUGGUAUUACAUCAUCGUUCUGAGGCAAUGAAGAACUGAAAUUCUUCCUAGUCUGCGAGCCAACAAGCACCACGAAGACAACGAAACACACACAGUUUGUUUAGCCUGUAAUUAAGAGGUAAUGAACCACUUUAUUAUGCAAUCGCUGCAACUGUGCCUUUCAAAAUAAAUCAGCUCUGACGGUAGUCAGAUGAUAAAAUACUCUU